GCCAUGAAAUCUUAAAAUGACUUAUUAAUAUAUAAGAUGUAUAAUGGUUGCUUUUUAGCUGUCUCAUAGUAACUCAAGCCAUCAUUCCUUAUCUGUGUAUAUAUAGGACAAAAGGAAUGUUAUGAGUUGGAUGGCGGUAACUCGUACAAUAGUGCAACAGUGGCCUUAUAGUCUUGAAUUUUAGCUUUUGAGACAAUUUCAUGGAACGGCAAUUUCUUUCUCUCACCUCUCUCCCUUUUCUUUCUCAAUAUCGUCAUAAAUUCUACAUAGCACUGAAUGGGAUAACUUAUAAGAUCGCUAAUGUAUAGCAAUAUGUAUCUACUCAUCUAGGAUAACUUGCUGGCGCUUGUCCGUUCCUUUCUUUCUUUCUUUCUUUUUUUUUAUUAUUAUAUCCCAUCUACAUCCUUCCGACUAAGAUAAUAGUGUUCUCCUAAUGCAGCCCCUCUUAUCUCCUCUACACAACCACUUGAUCACGCCAUUAGACAAUGGCAUACCCAGGGCCCAACAACCCUGGGCUUUCGCCCGAGCUGAUUACAGUUGGAUUCCAAUGAAUUUAAUUAAUGUGCAACCCAUAUAUAAAGGAGAUUAGGUCUACUUAGCGGCAUAUCCCACUAAAUUGUCUUGGCUCAUAAAAAAACUCUAAUAGAUCUGCUACUGCAAUAAGAGACAUAACGUUCAACUCUUACCUCUGACCUCUUUGUACCUUUGGUCCUACAUUAAUCUUUUUAUGGUCGCGCGUUUUCUACCACCGGCAGACCAAUUGGAUAAUUUUUUUGACUAGUGUUGAUGUUGAUGUUGAUUUGUUAUAAGAGAAAAAACAAUGUUCUAUAUGGCUUAGAACUAGCGGUGAUAAGUUCAAGCGAACAUGGCAGCACCUGGUCUGCAGCAUCAUUAACAUCUUGUCUUGUCGCCAUCAUGCCAGCUGCUAUCCGAGACCCGGCCACCACCUUUUAAACCAAUUCCAUAUUUAACCUAUGGUUGCUUUCAUCCCUAAACCAAACUUUUAAACUUACUUGCUUUCUCGUAAACAAUUGCUCAAUCCUUUAGAUUUUCUUACCGCUACAUGUUUUCUCAGGUUCAAGUAGUAGACUUGACACAGAUUAUUCUUUGAUUUUCCUAAGGAUCUAUUUGGAUGGACUAAAAUGAGUCGUUUAAUGCUAAAAAAAGCUAUGGCUGAUCCAAACCAUCUAGGUUCUAAGCUACUUUGUACUAUUCAAACACAAUUAUAAUAAAGCUAUUUUUUCACGAACGGUAUAAUAAAGCUAUUAUAAAUGGCUCAUCCGACUAUUGCAACUUAAAGGUUUAGGCCUUGUUUAGAUGUGAAAAGAUUUUGGAUUUCGCUAUUGUAGCACUUUCGUUUGUUUGCGGCAAAUAUUGUCUAAUUAUGGACUAACUAGGAUCAAAAGAUUCAUCUCG
rnacentral:lncRNA from 1 species